GAGUUUGAUUCUGGCUCAGAACAAACGCUGGCGGCGCGUUUUAAGCAUGAAGUCGGACGGCAAGAGUUGUAGCAAUAUGACUCCUAGAGUGGCGAACGGGUGAGUAACCGUAGGUGAUCUGCCCUUGGAUGGGGGAUAGUCCGUGGAAACACGGGGUAAUACCGCAUAGGCCUUGUGGGUAGAGCCAUGAGGUGAAAGGUGCAAUUGCACCGUCUGGGGAUGAGCCGCGGUCCAUUAGGUAGUUGGCGGGGUAAGAGCCCACCAAGCCGACGAUGGAUAGCCGGCUGAGAGGGUGUACGGCCACACUGGAACUGAGACACGGUCCAGACUCCUACGGGAGGCAGAGCUAAGAAUCUUCCGCAAUGGGGGAAACCCUGACGGAGCGACGCCGCGUGGACGAUGGGGCCGUAAGGUUGUAAAGUCCUUUUCCUGGUGAAGAAUGAGCGGGGGAGUGGAAAGCCCCGUGAUGACGUUAGCCAGGGAAUAAGCCCCGGCCAAUUACGUGCCAGCAGCCGCGGUAAU
rnacentral:rRNA from 1 species